UUUGUAUAAUGGGUCAGCGACUUAUAUUCAGUGGCAAGGUUAACCAUCUAGGGGAGCCGUAGGGAAACCGAGUCUUAACUGGGCGUUCAGUCUCUGGAUAUAGACCCGAAACCAGGUGAUCUAGCCAUGGGCAGGUUGAAGGUUGAGUAACAUCAACUGGAGGACCGAACCGACUAAUGUUGAAAAAUUAGCGGAUGACUUGUGGCUAGGGGUGAAAGGCCAAUCAAACCUGGAGAUAGCUGGUUCUCCCCGAAAGCUAUUUAGGUAGCGCCUCGGACGAAUACUACUGGGGGUAGAGCACUGUUAAGGCUAGGGGGUCAUCCCGACUUACCAACCCUUUGCAAACUCCGAAUACCAGUAAGUACUAUCCGGGAGACACACGGCGGGUGCUAACGUCCGUCGUGGAGAGGGAAACAACCCAGACCGCCAGCUAAGGUCCCAAAUUACUACUAAGUGGGAAACGAUGUGGGAAGGCUCAGACAGCCAGGAUGUUGGCUUAGAAGCAGCCAUCAUUUAAAGAAAGCGUAAUAGCUCACUGGUCGAGUCGGCCUGCGCGGAAGAUGUAACGGGGCUAAGUAGUAAACCGAAGCUGCGGCAAUACUCUUUGAGUAUUGGGUAGGGGAGCGUUCUGUAAGCGGUUGAAGGUGUGUGGUAACGCAUGCUGGACGUAUCAGAAGUGCGAAUGCUGACAUGAGUAACGAUAAAGGGGGUGAAAAACCUCCUCGCCGGAAGACCAAGGGUUCCUGUCCAACGUUAAUCGGGGCAGGGUAAGUCGACCCCUAAGGCGAGGCCGAAAGGCGUAGUCGAUGGGAAACGGGUUAAUAUUCCCGUACUUCUUACAAUUGCGAUGGGGGGACGGAGAAGGCUAGGUGGGCCUGGCGACGGUUGUCCAGGUUCAAGUGCGUAGGCUUAAGAGUUAGGUAAAUCCGGCUCUUUUUAAGGCUGAGACACGACGUCGAGCACCUACGGGUGUGAAGUCAUUGAUGCCAUGCUUCCAGGAAAAGCCUCUAAGCUUCAGAUUGUAAGGAAUCGUACCCCAAACCGACACAGGUGGUCGGGUAGAGAAUACCAAGGCGCUUGAGAGAACUCGGGUGAAGGAACUAGGCAAAAUGGUACCGUAACUUCGGGAGAAGGUACGCUCUUGAUGGUGAAGUCCCUUGCGGAUGGAGCUGACGAGAGUCGCAGAUACCAGGUGGCUGCAACUGUUUAUUAAAAACACAGCACUGUGCAAAAUCGUAAGAUGACGUAUACGGUGUGACGCCUGCCCGGUGCCGGAAGGUUAAUUGAUGGGGUUAGACUUCGGUCGAAGCUCUUGAUCGAAGCCCCGGUAAACGGCGGCCGUAACUAUAACGGUCCUAAGGUAGCGAAAUUCCUUGUCGGGUAAGUUCCGACCUGCACGAAUGGCGUAAUGAUGGCCACGCUGUCUCCACCCGAGACUCAGUGAAAUUGAAAUCGCUGUGAAGAUGCAGUGUACCCGCGGCUAGACGGAAAGACCCCGUGAACCUUUACUACAGCUUGGCACUGAACAUUGACCCUACAUGUGUAGGA
rnacentral:rRNA from 1 species